rnacentral:sRNA from 1 species
AUCUAGCGACAUUCACGAUGAAUCAAUAUAUAUAUAUAAAAAUAUAUAUAUAUUGAUUCAUCGUGAAUGUCGCUAGAU